rnacentral:rRNA from 1 species
UAGAGUUUGAUCCUGGCUCAUGACGAACGCUAGCGGGAGGCCUAACACAUGCAAGCCGAGCGGUAGAGUUUCUUCGGAAACUUGAGAGCGGCGCACGGGUGCGGAACACGUGUGCAACCUGCCUUUAUCUGGGGGAUAGCCUUUCGAAAGGAAGAUUAAUACCCCAUAAUAUAUUGAUUGGCAUCAGUUAAUAUUGAAAACUCCGGUGGAUAAAGAUGGGCACGCGUAAGAUUAGAUAGUUGGUGAGGUAACGGCUCACCAAGUCAACGAUCUUUAGGGGGCCUGAGAGGGUGAUCCCCCACACUGGUACUGAGACACGGACCAGACUCCUACGGGAGGCAGCAGUGAGGAAUAUUGGACAAUGGGUGAGAGCCUGAUCCAGCCAUCCCGCGUGAAGGAAUAAGGACCUAUGGUUUGUAAACUUCUUUUGUACAGGGAUAAACCUACUCACGUGUGAGUAGCUGAAGGUACUGUACGAAUAAGCACCGGCUAACUCCGUGCCAGCAGCCGCGGUAAUACGGAGGGUGCAAGCGUUAUCC